UGGAGGUGAGAUAUGUAGCACAAGGUUGGAAGACCGGGGUGCUGUGAAAAGUGGGAUUAGCAGGAUCCGGGAAACAUGGUGAUGGAUGUGGGUGCUCGACCUUUUCUUUGUAGCCUCGGUCGGCUUUGGGAAGAAAUCCCACAUGGUAUCCACAUGGGGUCGAUCGCCUUUGGAGCUCCGAAUGACCCCUCCCCUGCCCUCUCGCUAAAGUCAUUUCCUUUUUCUCAAGAGAAGAACGAUCGUGGUCUCAAAGUAUUCAUGCCUCCGCCUGUCUACUCCGUUCUUGUACAUGUCUUCUUCUUGAUUCAUUUCUUUUAUCUUUGUUCCGAGGGAUCUGCGCACGAGUGACCGUCUCCUCGGAUAGAAGAAGAAAAGGAACAAGUUUUCUGCAUUCCUUCCACAUUAUAAGCUUGUCAAAUGCAUCGCACCGGAAACAACUUACAGAAUGCAUUAACAUCAUCCAUCCAACAUAGCAAGACGAUGGAAGGGCUGGAAGUGUAGUGUUCUUCCGUGUCCUGUCGAGAGAAUCAAAUGCAUUGACUCUGAGGAUGCACCCGAAAGUCAACAGGUUGUGAAGAAUGGCUACGGAAGUAACUUCACGAGAGUAAAAGAAGAGUGUACGUUCCAUUCAUGUGCUCCGCAGAGGAUUUCAAGAUGACUAGUGAUGCAAGUCACGUACUUCCUUGUGCAGCCAACUUUUGCAUCGUGGACACAACAUGAGCUUGGUAAAAAAGAUCCAUGGAGGUAAGAUGUUUUUGGAUGGAAGAAGAAUACCACACAAAGUUGGGCAAGACUUUGAUGAUGUGAAGACUCGAAGAAUAAUUGAUUCCACUUUAUUUAUUUUUUCUGAAAUAGUGCUCCUACUGAUGUGAUGGUUUUAGAACAGAUAUUUGCAUGACCCCAAGCAAACUAUCCAACUGUUAACUUC